CUGGCUCAGGAUGAACGCUAGCGGCAGGCCUAACACAUGCAAGUCGAGGGGCAACACGGUGUAGCAAUACACGUGGUGGCGACCGGCGCACGGGUGAGUAACGCGUAUGCAACCUACCCUAGUACUGGGGGGAUAGCUCAGAGAAAUCUGAAUUAAACCCGCAUACAGCAUUUGUAUCGCAUGAUACGGAUUGCAAAAAUUCAGGUGGUAUAGGAUGGGCAUGCGUGUCAUUAGCUAGUUGGUGAGGUAACGGCUCACCAAGGCGACGAUGACUAGGGGGUCUGAGAGGAUGAUCCCCCACACUGGUACUGAGACACGGACCAGACUCCUACGGGAGGCAGCAGUGAGGAAUAUUGGUCAAUGGGGGCAACCCUGAACCAGCCAUGCCGCGUGAAGGAAGAAGGCCCUAUGGGUUGUAAACUUCUUUUGUACUGGGGUAAUAAUGGGUACGUGUAUCCAUAUGAAAGUACAGUACGAAUAAGCAUCGGCUAACUACGUGCCAGCCGCGGC
rnacentral:rRNA from 1 species